ACGCUGGCGGCGUGCUUAACACAUGCAAGUCGGACGAACGACUAUUAACAGAACCUUUCGGGCGAAGAAUAUAGAAGUUAGUGGCGGACGGGUGCGUAACGCGUGGGUAAUCUGCCUUUGUCAAAGGAAUAACUAUUCGAAAGAAUAGCUAAAACCGUAUAACAUAUUAAUAGGGCAUCCUAAUAAUAUCAAAACGAUAGUGGACAAAGAUGAGCCCGCGUCUGAUUAGCUAGUUGGUGAGAUAAAAGCCCACCAAGGCAACGAUCAGUAGCCGACCUGAGAGGGUGAACGGCCACAUUGGAACUGAGACACGGUCCAAACUCCUACGGGAGGCAGCAGUGGGGAAUAUUGCACAAUGGGGGGAACCCUGAUGCAGCAACGCCGCGUGAGUGAAGAAGGCAUUCGUGUCGUAAAACUCUGUAGUAGGGGAAGAAAGAAAUGACAGUACCCUAAAAGAAAGCCCGGCU
rnacentral:rRNA from 1 species